rnacentral:rRNA from 1 species
GAUGAACGCUAGCGGCAGGCCUAACGCAUGCAAGUCGAGGGGUAGAGGAAGCUUGCUUCCUUGAGACCGGCGCACGGGUGCGUAACGCGUAUGCAAUCUACCUUUUACAGAGGGAUAGCCCAGAGAAACUUGGAUUAAUACCUCAUAGUAUCUUUGCCUGGCAUCGGGUGAUUAUUAAAGUUCCAACGGUAAAAGAUGAGCAUGCGUCCUAUUAGCUAGAUGGUAAGGUAACGGCUUACCAUGGCAACGAUAGGUAGGGGUCCUGAGAGGGAGAUCCCCCACACUGGUACUGAGACACGGACCAGACUCCUACGGGAGGCAGCAGUGAGGAAUAUUGGACAAUGGGCGCAAGCCUGAUCCAGCCAUGCCGCGUGCAGGAAGACGGUCCUAUGGAUUGUAAACUGCUUUUGUACGGGAAGAAACACUCCUACGUGUAGGAGCUUGACGGUACCGUAAGAAUAAGGAUCGGCUAACUCCGUGCCAGCCGCCGCAGUAAAAC